rnacentral:rRNA from 1 species
GACGAACGCUGGCGGCGUGCCUAAUACAUGCAAGUCGAACGCUGAAGGAGGAGCUUGCUUCUCUGGAUGAGUUGCGAACGGGUGAGUAACGCGUAGGUAACCUGCCUGGUAGCGGGGGAUAACUAUUGGAAACGAUAGCUAAUACCGCAUAAGAGUAGAUGUUGCAUGACAUUUGCUUAAAAGGUGCAAUUGCAUCACUACCAGAUGGCCAUGCGUUGUAUUAGCUAGUUGGUGAGGUAACGGCUCACCAAGGCAACGAUACAUAGCCGACCUGAGAGGGGAAGAGGCCUAGCUGGGACGGGGGCACGGCCCGGACUCCUACGGGAGGGAGCCGGAGGGGAUCCUCGGGGAAGGAAGGAAGUCUGAACGAGGAACGCCGCGUGAGUGAAUAAGGGUGUCGGGUCGUGAAGCUCAGUUGUAAGAGAAGAACGAGUGUGAGAGUGGAAAGUUCACACUGUGACGGUAUCUGACCAGAAAGGUACGGCUAACUACGUG